rnacentral:misc_RNA from 1 species
GAAGAUCUUAAUUAUUGCUUGGUUAGCCUGUUAAGCUCCUAGAUUUUUUUCCCAUAUGUGAUUACCAUUUUAUCUAAAUUUGGUAGUAGAUAAAAAUUUAAUUUGGCCAUUCAUAACGUCAUGAUGCUUUCUUGUUUAAUUGCCAAUAACUACAAUGAGUAUCCACCCAGUUGUGCUAUUAUUCUGUUAAUGUUUUUUCUCUAAUUUCCAUGAGUCAGAUGAUCAGAUUAUACAUCAGUUGCAAAUGCUUUGUUUUGCCACCAGCCAUCAUCCUCUGAAUGGUUCUUCAUUGUCUCUUCUGGUCAAUGCCGAAUGUAAACAUUUGGUUCACUGCUAUAAUUUUAAUUGUUGGCAUGAGGAAAAGGGCAUUGCUAUGGCAUAAAUGAUAAAUCUGUCUCUCCUUUCUCUUGUUAAUGAUGAUGUUUGCUCCUUUUCCUCGAAGUAAACCCUUUUGAAGCAAUCCAUACUUGAGCAUCAGGUGCACAAAAAAAGACUUUGAAAAAUUUCAACAUUGAGGGUUGGAAACGAACGCUGCAUAUAUCUUUUUGUUUUGGUAUCAUGUGAUAGUUAGAAUCUUAUCCUUUGAGCUUUUUGUCGUUUCCAUGCUCUGAAUUUCUUUUAAUCCCCAGAUGCAUCUAAAUAAAGCAUAUGUAUAUACAGUUGGUAAUUAAUUAGAUAAGGUUUUGGAUCAGAUGGAGGACGGUAAUGUGCAAUCAAGGUACGUGAAGUUAACGAAGGAGCAAGCGCCGGCAUAAGAUAUCACCCCCGGCGAACUCAAUCAGCCGAUUCCAGUUCCUCAGUUAAUUAUACACGGAUGUGCUGAAUGCGGCCAAGCUCUACCUGAAAGCUAUGAACCUCCUGCCGAUGAAGAUUGGACAACCGGAAUAUUUGGCUCUGCUGAUGACACUGAGAGUUGUAAGACUCCACAUCUAUGUUUUUCUUUUUUUUGGCCAUUAAUUUUUCUGACUUUGUCAUCAUUUCGACUGAAACAUCCAUGGAAAGAGUUAGGACGCUAAUCUUUUCUUUCAUAUGCUGGAAUUUGGAAGGCAAUUUGUUCUUUGCUUGCGCAAAUAUUAAUCUAAUCAGUUUGAUAUUCUAAAUUUUUCAAGAAGUUUGGUCCCUUCUGAGAAUUAUUUCUUGAGACUCGUUGCGGAGGCACAGUAAGCUGUGUAUAGAGGGAAGGAUAUUCAGUGAAAGAUAAUCAAGAUGCAGUGGCAGAAAUUAAACUUUCCACGCCUAUGAUGCUUCAAUCAGAGGGUCUUACAUUUCGCAUUUGAGAGAGUAAAUUUGGGGGAAUCCUUUGGGUUGGUAGGAGUAAGAAAGCAGAAAGGUUAUUAUGCAAAGACCUAUACCUCUAGUGGAUUGCUUAAAAUAAUAAUAGGUACUGAAAGUUAGUUUUUCCUUCCAAUGAUUGUCGUAUUAAAGUAAUAUCAUUACGUAUGUUGCAGGCCGCAUGUUGCAGGCCGCACUGGCCUCUUUUGCCCAUGUGUGUUGUUU